rnacentral:rRNA from 1 species
UACGAAGGUCCCGAGCGUUGUUCGGAAUCACUGGGCGUAAAGGGAGCGUAGGCGGCGUGGUAAGUCAGAUGUGAAAUCCCGGGGCUCAACCCCGGAACUGCAUUCGAUACUGCCGUGCUAGAGUUUUGGAGAGGUAGCUGGAAUUUACGGUGUAGCAGUGAAAUGCGUGGAUAUCGUAAGGAACACUCGUGGCGAAAGCGAGCUACUGGACAACAACUGACGCUGAGGCUCGAAGGCCAGGGUAGCGAAUGGG